rnacentral:sRNA from 1 species
GCGACCUGUUUUAAGUCUCGAAGAGCCUGCUCUAUAUAUUCAGUAGCACCACUAAAUUUAAGGAUAAGUGAGAUAAGCACGAUCAAUGGCAGGACGCCGAGGAGAAGGCAGGUCAAUCAUAUUGUGGUGACUGGGAAGAAUGAGGUUAUCAAAAAAAUCGCUUUUGAAAGCAGUAUAGGAUGUAAUGUAUUUAACAAGAAAAGAGAAAGGAAAGAAAGGAAAAUAUAGGAAAGAAAAAUCUCCAUGACAAACAAUAUCGGAAUAAAGCCCAGAACGCCGUCAGUACGACGAUGAAGCACUAAAAAUAAAAUGAAAAGAAAAAGGAAAAGGAAACGUUAUGUAC